rnacentral:rRNA from 1 species
AGGUGGGAUCGUAAGACCUCGCGUUAUUGGAGCGGCCGAUGUCGGAUUAGCUAGUUGGUGGGGUAAAGGCUCACCAAGGCGACGAUCCGUAGCUGGUCUGAGAGGACGACCAGCCACACUGGGACUGAGACACGGCCCAGACUCCUACGGGAGGCAGCAGUGGGGAAUUUUGGACAAUGGGCGCAAGCCUGAUCCAGCCAUGCCGCGUGAGUGAAGAAGGCCUUCGGGUUGUAAAGCUCUUUCGCAAGGAAAGAAAACUUACCUAUUAAUACUAGGUGAGGUUGACGGUACCUUGAUAAGAAGCACCGGCUAACUACGUGCCAGCAGCCGCGGUAAUACGUAGGGUGCGAGCGUUAAUCGGAAUUACUGGGCGUAAAGCGUGCGCAGGCGGUUUUGUAAGUCAGAUGUGAAUCCCCGGCUCAACCCCUUUCA